AUAGUCGAAAUUACYGACUAUUUCAUCGUCAAGUCCUAAAAAAGCUUGAUCAGAAUCUAUAGGAGUUUGUAACUCAUCUCAUAGUAUUAAUUUACUGUGAAUCAACUAUGUUUAACUAAUGUUUAGUUGUUAAGAUGUAAUGUCAACUCCUUAUAAACCAUGUAAAUACCUUCGUGUAUUUAUACUCAUACUUGCGACCUCAGAGUAGACGAGAC
rnacentral:misc_RNA from 1 species